rnacentral:lncRNA from 1 species
UGGAUAAGGGAUGAGUUAGUGUCCAUUUGAAUUCAAAAUUUGAUUUGAAUUCAAAUGUGCAAUUACUCAUCUUUAUCCUUUCUUUUGGAUAAGACGUUUGAUGUUGUUAUAAAAGGAGGAGAAGAGUGAGGCGUGCAAGAAGAAGAAGAUUUUUGGAGAAAAAUUUUGGAGCGUGAGAAGUCUUGUGCAUUAGAAGGAAGUCCAUAUCCUUCCAAGAAAAAAAGAAAGAAAAGAA